rnacentral:rRNA from 1 species
UACGGAGGGUGCGAGCGUUGUCCGGAAUCAUUGGGCGUAAAGGGCGCGUAGGUGGCCUUCUAAGCGUGCGGUGAAAGCCUGGGGCUCAACCCCGGGUCGGCCGUGCGAACUGGGGGGCUUGAGCACUGUAGAGGCAGGCGGAAUUCCGGGUGUGAGCGGUGGAAUGCGUAGAGAUCCGGAAGAACACCGGUGGCGAAGGCGGCCUGCUGGGCAGUUUUGCUGACACUGAGGCGCGACAGCGUGGGGAGCAAACAGG